rnacentral:rRNA from 1 species
GACGAACGCUGGCGGCGUGCUUAACACAUGCAAGUCGAACGGAAAGGCCUGCUUUCCCUUGUGGAUUGCGGGUACUCGAGUGGCGAACGGGUGAGUAACACGUGAGUGAUCUGCCCCCAACUUGGGUAUAAGCCUGGGAAACUGGGUCUAAUUCCCGAUAGGACUGCAGGGUGGUGCCUGUGGUGGAAAACGAUUUUCUAGUGGUUGGGGAUGAGCUCGCGGCCUAUCAGCUUGUUGGUGGGGUAAUGGCCUACCAAGGCGGCGACGGGUAGCCGGCCUGGGAGGGUGGACGGCCACAUUGGGACUGAGAUACGGCCCAGACGCCUACGGGAGGCAGCAGUGGGGAAUAUUGCACAAUGGGCGGAAGCCUGAUGCAGCGACGCCGCGUGGGGGAUGACGGCCUUCGGGUGGUAAACUCCUUUCGACCGCGAGGAAGCCACCUGGUUGGAAGGGUGGUGACGGUAGUGGUAGAAGAAGCACCGGCUAACUACGUG